UUGGCUAAGCCUUGAACGUUGUGUGACCAGGAUCCUGAGGCUGUAUGAACCUCUGGCCAGCUACUACAAAUCUGCUAAUGAAAAUCAGGCCAGGUUCAAGAGACUUGUGCAGACAUUCACUGACCCCAUGACAGAAGUGUACCUGCUGUUCUUCCAAGCCACCGUACCAACUUUCACUUCUUUCAACUUGCAGUCAUCAAUAUUUUUGUUGCAUGAUGAGGUGGGAUUGGAUUUUGCUGUUUUUUUCCAUUCUGUGUUUCUUGCUGAUAUCUGCAGGGAUCCUCUAAAACAGGUUUCACCUACUAUUUUUGUAAAUGUCUGUUAUAGAUGGUGAAAUUCGUAUGCAAGCUAUGUUCCAAGUUUAUGGUUCCAGCAGCUCUGCAGUGCCAUGAGGAGCCUUGUGAAAUUGCCUUUAAAGAAAAGGCAAACCAUUUACCAGGAAGAAAGUUGAACAUUGGGUUCACAACCAGGGCUAA